CCUACGGGAGGCAGCAGUGAGGAAUAUUGGUCAAUGGCCGGGAGGCUGAACCAGCCAAGUCGCGUGAGGGAAGACGGCCCUACGGGUUGUAAACCUCUUUUGUCAGGGAGCAAGGUGCAGGUCGGGACCUGCUGUGAGAGUACCUGAAGAAAAAGCAUCGGCUAACUCCGUGCCAGCAGCCGCGGUAAUACGGAGGAUGCGAGCGUUAUCCGGAUUUAUUGGGUUUAAAGGGUGCGCAGGCGGAGGCACAAGUCAGCGGUAAAAUCGCGGGGCUCAACCCCGCUGCGCCGUUGAAACUGUGUCCCUUGAGUACUGGAGAGGCAGACGGAAUUCCUAGUGUAGCGGUGAAAUGCGUAGAUAUUAGGAGGAACACCAGUGGCGAAGGCGGUCUGCUGGACAGCAACUGACGCUGAGGCGCGAAAGCGUGGGGAGCAAACAGGAUUAGAUACCCCUGUAGUC
rnacentral:rRNA from 1 species